rnacentral:rRNA from 1 species
UUUAAGGUCUAAUCUGCCCUAUGAGGAGUUAAAUGGCCGCGGUACUCUGACCGUGCAAAGGUAGCAUAAUAAUUAGUUUUUUAAUUGAAAGCUGGAAUGAAUGAUUGGACGAGAAAAUAACUGUCUCAGUUUAAAUUGAUUAGAAUUUUAUUUUUAAGUAAGAAAGCUUAAAUUUUUUUAAAAGACGAGAAGACCCUAUAGAGUUUUAUAUUUAUAUAAUUAUGGGUUUUUUGGUAUAUUUUUAUUUGUAUUUAUAUGGGUAUUUUAUUGGGGCGAUAGAAAAAUAUGAUGAACUUUUUUUUUAUUAUUACAUUUGUAUAUGAAAUUUUGAUCCAUUGUUUUUGAUUAUAAGAUUAAAUUACCUUAGGGAUAACAGCGUAAUUUUUUUUUAGAGUUCUUAUCGAAAAAAGAGAUUGCGACCUCGAUGUUGGAUUAAAAUAGACGUUUGGUGUAGGGGCUAAAUGGUUAGGUCUGUUCGACCUUUAAAAUUUUACA